UUCCGACGCCUGGUGGCGAUUCCUCCCUAAACUCGACAGGCCGCGCCGCUUUUGCCGCGCGGCCUUUCUUUAUUCGGCGG
rnacentral:sRNA from 1 species